rnacentral:rRNA from 1 species
UACGGAGGGUGCAAGCGUUGUUCGGAACUAUUGGGCGUAAAGGGCGCGUAGGCGGCGCAACAAGUCACUUGUGAAAUCUCCGGGCUUAACCCGGAGCGGCCAAGUGAUACUGUCGUGCUAGAGUGCGGAAGGGGCUACUGGAAUUCUCGGUGUAGCGGUGAAAUGCGUAGAUAUCGAGAGGAACACCUGCGGCGAAGGCGGGUAGCUGGGCCGACACGUGACGCUGAGGCGCGAAAGCCAGGGGAGCGAACGGG